CGUGAGUCGUGCUUUUGCUCCUCCUUUGCCUUCUGCCAUGAUUGUGCGGCCUCCCAGGCAGCUCAUCAGUAGUGUCAUACACAUUUUUAGGAUUAUUGUCAAAUUUGGGAAAGCCUCUAUCAAGAUAUUAUUUCUGGCCUGCAACUUCAUGUUACAAUGCCUGUUUGGGACUUGGUCGAAAGAGCCACCUCUCACUGCACAUGCUGUUCUAUCAUGGCAGAAGAUGGGAACAGCAAGCUGUGAUGAAUCAAGCAAUUGUGCUUAAAGCUUUUGUGCAGAAUCAGCACAUUGCUACUUCUGCUCAUAUCCUGUUGGCCAACCCCCAAAAUCAAGGAGGUGAGGAGAA
rnacentral:lncRNA from 10 species